UUUGUCUGUGCGGCUAUUAUGAGCGGAAAGCCACACGCAGCUCAAUCCACAGAUUAGGUCAUAAUAAGGUUAGGUUAGCACAACAUGGAUCCCGCUCAAUCCACCCAGACACCCAACAAGUCCGAUGACUUAUGAUGGUAAAGAAUACAAUGGAAUCGUUAUAAUUCCCCUAUAAAAACCCAGCCGUAUUUUCAUUAUUUUUACUCUGACUUCAUAUUGUUUUCCAUUUUUAUUUCUGCUAAAAUAUUCCUUGGAAGAACAAACCUAAAACCUCCACCCAGAAGUAAUGUGUCCAUGAUAAACAGUAGACAGUAGAAGAAUGUGGAUGUCCUCCCUCUCCGGUGAAGAUCUCCUGCGUCUUCCUGAUUAAGCGCAAUGAGAACAUUCCUGAUACCAGAUACAAUAUGUAAUCAUGGGCUUCAUCUAAUGACCCCGGUUGUGUUUCCGGAGUGCGUGUGAUGUCUCUGGACGGUCAUUGGCUUUUAUACUAUAGAGAUUCGGCCGUGGUGAACAUUCUGGCAAUUCCCUUGAGAAAAUCGACAGGGGAUGAAGAAGUAAAAUCAUCCAUAGCUUAGUCUGCCGGCUGGAACCAUGUGGUCACUUUAUUUGAUAUUGGCCUCACAAUGCUAAUUAACUUAGUCUUUAAAUUGACAAAUACCUCGGUUGUAAAUCCCUAUUCAGCCGAAAGUAAGUUAGGAAAUUCCCUCGACUUGUUCUCUCGCACCAUGGUUGAGAAUGACCCAACAGCCACACAGAGGAAUUGUCUCUGAAUUUUUAAGGCUCUGGAUGUUUG